GGUGACCCAUAUGAUGGCGAUUUGCUCCGGCCAUUCCAGUUCUGGCGGUGGUGUUGCUCCUAUGAUGGUAGACAUGUCUGCCUCCCCUAGCUGCCGCCGUGGUGAUGAAGCUCGGCCUAGGCUACAACCCCCUCCGAUGAUUGAUGAGCUGAUCUUCUUCCACCAGUGGUAGCGGGAGUGAUGCUGGAGCAGUACAUCGAUCAGUAGAUCAUCCUGCCAUUUGGGUAGGGAGAAGCUGGGACGGCCCUAAUGCGGUAACAUCACCAUGUGGCAAACCAGUAGAUGGACACAACAUUGGUGCCUGGGUGAUGGGACAAAGUACGUGUACCAGUGAUGGUGCACGAUAUUCGUGCUUCUCAUUGAUGUGAUGUGUUAUCAGCUAAAAUUUGUGCUUCUCGUCCAGUCUAUAUUGAUGUGCGCUUGUGCACUUGUUGGGCCUUUUUGUUGUGCACUUGCACUUGCACUUGUAGAACUAUUUUGUUGUGCACUUGUUGGGCCUUGAACCUUGCUGUGUAGAGGAGUCGAUUGAUGAUGUAUUGUAUUUCAUGUG